ACUCUUCGGCCGAGAUUCCUUCGAUUUUCUCCAGUUAGGUAAGCUUUAGGUUUAUCUCUUUUCGUUCUAAUUGAAGCUUGGGUGUGAUUUAUUAAGUGUUAUACUUGUAAUUUCCAAGAUGUUAGAACGAGAUCGGCUUGGUGGGAAGCACACCCAACUCGGGCAAAAUCGUGGGUGUCAAGGAUAUUCCCGGUCACCUCCGGCCAUUUCACAACUAAUAGAAGGUAUAAAUCUCUUCCCAUUGUCUCACUCUUC
rnacentral:lncRNA from 1 species